GUCUCCAAGCUACAUGUGUUCCCGCAUCCAACGGUGCUCCGGGGAAUGCAGCGUGCUGGUGACGGCUGUUUCUGAUUACUGCCGUGUCAGGAGGCAAAGGAAGGAGCCUCUGCCAGCCCGGUGUGCACUGUGGAAUCACCGCCGCUCCCAGCUAAGGCUGGCGGGGCCUGGAUGCCUGACUGGUCACUUGGGAGGGGAGACUUGCAUUCCCCAAACAAACUCAACAGCUGAGUUACUGACAUAAGUCCUUACUAGCACCUCGCAUGCUUUUAGUUUUGUGCUAAACUGGGAAAGGAGACACAAGCAGUGAUAGCGCAUGUUUCAACCCUUUCGGCAACUUAUUAUUGAUGGGGAUGAGGACAAAGAAAGCAAUGACAAAAAGCAAAGAUCCGUUUAUCCAUUCAAUGGCAUUGAGAUCCACCCUGCUAGAGUUUGCAGUCUAAUGGGAGAGAUGUCAGUCAAAUACUGUUAAUAAAUGGGUAGUUAGAAAUCACAGCCAAUCCUGUGAAAGAAAAUACAGAGGUUACUGGAGCGGACACAGGGAUCUGACUUGUUCUGGGGUUACAGGAAGAUUCCUAGAUGAAGUCCUACAAGCUUGCAUCUUGGAGAUGCAGAGAGGCUGAGUCCAGGCCGUGUUUAGAGUGAAUGCACAAGCUGUGUGGACAGAUGGGAGAGUGGAGGAGAUGGAUAUUGCAUCUGACUUCUAAGUUUCUAGCCAGAAUAACUGAAAUUGAAGGCGCUAUUGUCAGAGCAUUUGGGGCAGGGAGUCAGCGUGGCAGGGGACACAGAUGGAGUGACAGGAAAUGCUGUGCAAGGUGGGUGGUGUGUGUGGAGCCCGCUGAGCGGUGUUCGUGGCUAAGACUCUCCAGAAAACGACACUGUAGGGAAGGGAGGACCGGUGCAGGUUCUCAGCCUCAGACUGCUCAUAACUGGGGCCCCGGAAUGGAGAGAGAACGAGCCCCAGUGGGCACCCUCUGGGUGCCUGUCUGUGUGAGGCAUUUGCACACUGCUGUUCUGUGGGGUGACCCAGAACUUACUCUUCUGCAAAGCAUGAUGUGUGUGUGUACUCUGUGUUGUGAGGUGUGUAUAUGGUAUGUCUGUGGUAUGUGGUGUGAGUUGUGUAUGUGUUAGGUGUGUCCAUGGUGAUGGUGGUGGUGGUGGUGUGUGUGUGUGUGUGUGUAUGCAUACUUCUCUGUGGUAUUAUUAGGUCCCAGGGCCUGUGAUGGCCCGUGGCAGUCAGGAAGAAUGGUUCCUCCUUCUACUUCUCUUGGUCUGGCCUGUCACCUCUGUCCUUGUCUAUGUCCCAUUCUCUUGCUUCCCUCUGUUGAUGCUGGAUGCUUCCUUCUUUCCCCACAGCCCGGUUGUGACUUUUUAGUUCCAGACCCCAACAUUAGCUACCCAGCCAUUCCUGAGUAAAGAUGCAAAUCCUCUGCCCAGCCACAGAGCACAGACUGUGUGUUGGGUCUUAUUUUUCAACACUGGGGUGCAACUGAUAUAAAGCAUAAAUGUCAUGAGCUGACAUUUUCCUGGGAGAGACAUCUACUCAGUGAAAAAAGGCAGAACAUUUUGGAUGGCUGAGCAGCAAGGAAGAAACCUGUGAUGGGCUGGAGAGAGAUGUGGUGGACGCUUCCUUCGGACCUACUGAACAGGAGACCUCUCCCUGGUCAAGAGCGUGAAAGCAGAGAGCGCGAGAGAAGAGGCCUCUGAUUUACAGAAUUCUUCACCAGUGAGGGGAAACAGUCUGCGUGUGCCUAAAGGCUUUCUCCUGCGGUGGACAGGAUGCAGCAGGGCUGGCUGAGAAACAGCUCUGUUUGCUGCCGGAUCUCAGGGGCUACGCUGAGACACACCUAAAUUAAGUAACUCUCUGGAGAGUCACACAAGAUCGUGUCUUAGGCUGGGGUCCUCUGGGACAGGGGCUCCCAACCUCUGACCUGUUAGGAACUGCGCUGCACAGCAGGAGAUGAGCAGCAGCAAGCAGGCACAGCUUCCCUGGCUGUACGGCUCCGCAUUGCUCCCCUCACAGUCUGGGCUCCGCCCCGUAUCAGAGCAGCACCAGCAGGAUUCAUCUCGGAACUUGAACCCUUUUGCGAACUGUGCAUGUGAGGGAUUUAGGUUCCAAGAAGCUGAUGCCUGAGGACUUGUGGUACAGCUAAGAUGGUGAUUUAGUGCUGGGGAAUGCAAUUAUUAUGUAUCACAAGCAUAAACUAAUACAAAAGAGAAACACUCUUUCAUUCUGGUCUGUGGAAAAAUUAUCUUCCGUGAAACUGGCCCCCAGUGCUGAAAGUGUUGGGGUCACUGUUCUAGAUAGCAGUGCCUGUGGUCAAGAUGAGCUGCUGCUGCUUUAUGGGCAGGAGGAAGCCAGGGGAGGAAGGGGGGGGAUGGGCAGAACUGGUGGAGGUAGAAGUGAGCUGGGUCACACCUGGGCCUUUGGCCUUGCUCCAGCUGAUCACAUGGUAGGCGAGGGAAACAAGGAGAGGCCACGGGAAGGAGAAGUGAAGGCCUUCACCUGCCUGACCCCUUGACUCUCCUUCCCUGGUCACCUGCCCCACACCAAAUGGGUUGUGCUUUCCAGUUCCUUAGUGGUCACCUCAGGAGCCAGAUUCAGUGCCUCACAGGGUAGCCUGCAUCCGAUUCUGUAAGGGGACGGCUUCUUACCCGGUUCGGGAUGCUGGAGUUUCCUUAGAACUGGCUCCUCGGUUCUUUCCAUCCUAAACAAAGAAUUGGUUCAGACAAGUGCAAAUAGUAGCAGGGUUUUACAUUUAUUAAGGAAAGGAAGAGAAACAGGCUCUGCAGCGUGAGUUUGGGGCAAGGAAACGCAGGAAAAGGAGUUCACCCUGCAGCAUGAGAGGGGACUGCUGUGGAAAAACACAGUGGCCAAGAGCUCAGUGUUGAUGCCCUUCUGUACCUCCUUCUCCCUAGGCUGACGUCAGGGCUAGGCUGUCCCAUCUGAAAAUGCUCACAAGAAAUGCACUGCAGGGCUUUGGGAAUUGCUCUGUGCAUGUGUCCUGGGAUUUUGCAAUUAACAAGUCAGGCCCGCUUCCCCAGCCAGCUUUGCUACACCCUAAUCUCCUGCCUCCAAUGACUCAGGUGAAUAGCGUGCAGUAAGUGUGGUGGGCAUGAUGUAUAUUCCUGGAGAUUCCAUUUGUACUGGCUGCUAAAUAAAAUCCCAUAGAUGAGAAAGCAAAAAUAUAUACUAAAUAGUAAGGUGGAACCCAGCCUCUGAAGAAAGGCAGUCUGCAGGGCCUGUCUCAGAAUAUGUACCCCCACAGAGGACUUCAGUCACGAGGGGUACACACAAGACUGUUCGCUUGUGUUUAUGUGGAGUCGACACCAGAACAUGCCCCCAGCUCUCUGUGCGGAAUGGGUUUCUUCCUCCCAAAAGGGCUUGAGUAUCUCUGGAGCUCAAAAAUUGAAGGCAUCUACAGAGAGACAGAGGACCCCCCCCACCCCAGAAGCCUGGGCUGUGACUGCAGUGUGUGGUUUGGGGACAGUCAGCACAGAGCCCAGGAGCAGACUGAGUAUCCCUUAGUGAGUCCAGGAAGGCAGAGUCCUGGCGCUAGACCUCCAGCCUUAGGGACAAUGGCCAGUGAAGUGAGGGCACUGGGCACAGGACAUGUGCCCAGCAGACUGUCAGUUUUUCUACUCUAUUGACAGGAGUACGUAUCAAGAUGUAGCCUGCAGGGAAAAUCUGCAGUUUUUCUUUCUCAUAUCUGCCUGCUCUAUUUUUAUGACUACAAUUAAAGUUUGAGAUUUAGCCUCUCUCCUUCUAAGGCUAUGUAUAUUAGUCAUGGUCCUAUGAACUGAAGAUAAUAAGAACUUUUAAUGCCUCUGGCUAUACUGUGCAUAUCUUAGGGUUUUCAAGAUGAAAACAAGAUUUGAACCCAUCUAGUUUUGGAGCUAUGAAUGUAAGGCUGGAGCUGCUGCAGCCACCUUGCUACUAAGGAUAAAGAAUUUGUUUGAAGUAUAGCUAACUGGCAGAAGCAACAUGGACAAAAAUCUAAUGCCUUUGAGCUCUGUAUUAAAUCAUGCCUGAGGUCAGAUUUUCUUGUGGCUUUCUCAGUUUUAUGAACUAUUUUGCUUCAACCACUUGAGUUGGUUUUUAUGUCAUUUGCAGCAGUUUUAAGGACCACUUGCUCCAUAGCUCAUCUGGACCUGGUAAGUACUGUGCCUCUGUGACUCACUUUUGUCCAUUUUGUUUCUGAUUCCUAUUGCUUCUCCCACAGGGACAUGAAGAUAUCGAUUUCAUACACUCAGAGAUUUUCCUAUCUGAAUAGCAAUUUGGCUUUGUUUUGUUUCUACUGUGAAGAAGUAAAUGUACUUUCUGAUUUUAUAACUUGGUCACUGGGAGCCUGGUUUCUCAGGGAAUGUGCAAAUUGGGUCUCUCGUUUAAAAAUUGAAGUUUAGAUUCCAGACUGCGGGGGACUGAGCAGAGUGAUAAGUAGAGUCUCUGGGCCUUUUCCCUUGGAGAGCAACCUAGUCAUUGUGCAACCGUGUGAGCAUCAGAAGCACCAUAUUCCCUUGUCCUUCCAGUGACAUCUGCAAUGUCCCCUCCUCUCCCAUUCACUCAUUUGUUCAUUCAGUGAUUGCUUACCUAGCACUGGGUUCACAUGGUGAAAAAGCUGAAGUUCCCGCCCUUAUUGGACCUACGUCCUCAUGUGGGGUCACGAGCAAUAGCCAAGAUAAAUAUGUGAUGUAGAAAUAUGUGAUCACUCUUUUUAGACAGGGUCGCAGGGCUGUGUCUCAGGGCUGAAGAUCUGAAGAGAAUGAGGACAGCAGCAGCACCUAGGUGGAAGGAGCAGCUGGUGCUAAGGCCCUGGGGAGGGAGUGGGCCUGGCAGCUGAAGGGGCAGUGAGGAGGUCAAAGGGCACACGGGCGCAUAAGCCCCGGGUGAGGAUGUGCAGGAAGAGUCUUAGCACAGGGACCUUUCCCCUCCUGCAAAGAGAGGACCGACCACAUGACAAAACUCAAAGACCCAUGUCCCUGGGGGCCCAAGAGUCUCUUUCUGGGAACUGAGAGUGCAGGGCUGUGCUUCCUUUAUCCUGGAGACACAGGAUUGUGGAGGGAAAGCUCGGGACCAGUGCUAGCAAGGGGCAGACCCUGAAGGUUUAGGGGUCAGAGGUUUGGAGGUCUUGGACCAUGGCACAGAGCGCAGCAGCGAUGAGUCAUCUGGAGACCCUUGGUGGCAAGAAUGGCCAAGAGCAUCUAGAUCAGCAGCUGGGAGGAUGAGCAGCACCAGAUGUGUGCCACUACCUGGGCCCGCACAGAGACAGUGGAGCAGAGAGUGUGAACGGAGCCCGGAGCAGGCUCAGAGACUGAUUAGGGGUGGAAAUUUUCCUCCAUCCCUUUGAAGAUUCUGAGGGACACAUAAGGCACAAAGGACUGAGAGUCACCAUUGUGGCAGUAGAAGACAUUGCUCUAGUGACCACGCUACAAACUAUUAAAGUGACUUUGCCUUGGGUAGGACCUAUAGGUGUUCCGUUCUGUAACUGUUGUCCCCCUAGGUCCAUCCUGUCCACAACAGCUAUACCCCAUCCCCUGCAGGUGUUAGUAGUGCUACGGUGGUCUCACUCUGGGUCCAAACCUUUUAGUUGUUUCUCUUUUUUGGCUGUGUUGUGUGUAUAUCCCAAACUGAGCAGGUCUCUUGCUGGGCCCUACUGGUCAGCUCUAUGUUGUCACUCCUUACUUGCAAGUUUGCAGACAAAAUGUUGUAUUCCCUCAGUCUCUCUGUCCACAAAUGUUUACAAAGAUUAGGCUUUAAUGUACACAGAUUUUCUGCCUCAAUUGUAUAGCUUAAUCAGUUUGGCUUGCUUUAUUUCUUUUUUAUGAGGUCUAUUGUCUUCUGGUUACAAAAGAAAUACAUGUGCAUUGUAGAAGGCAAUUGAUUUUUCUGGAGCUUUCAUUUUGCAUUUGCAUUCCCUAUGAAUACUUAGCUGGGCAAUUUGGGAGGCGCUGGAGGGGCGGCGGGCCUGCUUGAAUGCAAAUGCGACCCCAGCAGCCCUGCUGGUGAGGGGCUGGCGGAAGAGGCCUUGCAGCCCAGGGCUGCCUGGAAGGCUCUUUCUCACUGUGCAGACAUUCUGCCCUUCUCCUUGUUUUUUGUUCCUCCCCUUCAAACAAGCUUUUAACAACAACAGCUGGAAUUAAAAAGCAUCCAUUCAUCAGAAAAUACAGUGCAGCGGGCCUUAGCUGAGACUGGUUUCAAGCUUUCCUCACACGUGACGCAUGUGAUGUGGAGGGCUAGCUUGUUUGUGUAAAAGUGUGGAGUUCAUCUCUGCGUGGGUUAGACGGGAUUCUCCUUUAGGUUUCUCAAUACUCAAGAUAUUAGAUUUAUAUUCAUUGGGUCAAAAGUGGGAAGAAUUAGGUAAUUAACCAAACCAAUCGUGUGAGGCGCAUGAAAUUCUUGUACGUUCUUCCUCUUCCUGAACUCAUGAAGUGCUGUGCAUCAUUAAAAUGACAGGUUCUCAUGAACACCUGGAGAAAGAGAUAACAUUUGUGGGCCAUCCAGUCUGUGCCAUCCAUCUCCCGUAACUCCUCCUCUUCCCUAGAACUCCACAUGGGAAGUUUUGUGCCUAUUUUCUAGAUGUCCCCAUCGUAUGAAUGAAGAAAGUAGGACACAGAAAGGUGAAGGAUUUGCCCAAGAAUAUUAAAGUUAUUCACCAGAGCUGCUGUGACUUUGGCUAAGUUCUUAAAUAUUAUUUUAGGGCUAAGGCUAAAAAAAUUGCAUCUUGAGUAGGGUAAAUUAAAUCAUUACAUUGGUUCAUUCUCCAAAGGUGCUCAUUCUCUGUCCAGGUUUUUUCAACUUUUUUUCAGCUCCAUUUUUUCCUCUUAAGCCCUUGAGCAGCAGUCGCCCAGGAAUUGACAAACUCCUCAGUGCAGGUCUGUGUGAACAUAGACAGAGGAGCUCCAGGAAAACCUCCUGGCCAGGCUGACGGGGGUGACAGCUUGGUAAUGGGUCUCAAGAGUAUAUAUACAAAUUAAGCACCUCUCAUUCCUUUGUUGCAAAAACAUCAAUUAAGCUUGAAUAAUCCAUAGGUUUUCCUAUUUUAAAUAGAAGAAAAUCAACACAAAUUGACUAGAUUGUCUUUUCCUCUAGCUUUUAAUCAUUAAUCCUCUUCAAACCUUUCCUGCCCUUAUCCACUGCUCCUCUCUAAGGAAAAAAAAAAAAAAAAAAAAGAAAGAAAGAUAAAGUUCAACAUGCACACACUGCCAUUUCUGACACCCACUGGGAACCUUUACUAGGCAAUUUGCUUGGUCUUGAGCAUAAUGAAUACAUGCGUUCGAUGUUUUGGAGAGGGGGCCAGUCUGGUAUGCUGACGGCCAGUGAAGAGUUUAUUCUGGCUCCUUUUACAGUUGGCCAGAUGAUGGCUUUGACCUCACAGCCUGCUCCCUGGCUGGUGCCACUCAGCACUGGGUGAGCGCUGUGGACGCCGCCAUCAGAUGUAAACCCGAGGAACCUCAUUUGUCUCUGUCAGGCUGCCCCUGUAAUAUAUAAACUAAUGCCAGCAAGAACCUAUCCAUGUCCCUGUCCAUGUCUCUGUCCCUGUCCCCAAUCCUGCUGCUUCAGGAGUGGGCACCUCAUCACUGGCUGGUAGGCUCCUGGCUGCCUGGGAUGAGGAAAUCUUAGGGGCACGUCCAGCUCCUUCUUUGCCUUCCGGUUGGGGUGCAUGCAAACCUCCCAGCAAAAUGCCUCUGCUUUCUAUGCGGUGGUGGGUUGCUGAGGACCACACAGGUGGUUUCUUUCUUGCUCUCUCAUCUCAGCAUGCCAGGGGGAGGGACGGGAAGCCUGUGAAGCCCUUGUUGCAUAGAGCAGGAAUAUCUUCAAUUUCGUUGGUUCCUUCGGAAUUGCUGGCCUAAAUUGCUGCAUCAACCACACUUCUUAAGAGGAGAGUUUUCUUUUCUUUGCAUGCUCAUCAGUGCACAGUAUUGUUAGGCUUUUAUAUCUGCAGAAUUAACAAUGUAAAAUGGUAUAUCAUUGCAUUUCCCAAUCCUUUUCUCCACUUUUUAAAUAAAAUCAGGAGAAUAGAUGCCUCAACCUGCCAAAAUGGUCUCCUUGUGUGCUGCUUUGUCUUCUUCAGAGUGGAAAGGUAGAGCACUGGCUACCAGUUAUGUUGAUCAGCUAUGUGAGUCUUUGUUCUGUACCUGGAUGCUUGAGAUACCUCUUCUAAGCUUGAAGAAUUUUCCAUACUAUGUGCCUGUCUGCCUAGAUAGAAACCAGAAACUCCCUUUCCCAGGCUCCCCAAAGAACUAGAAUUGAGGUCAGCCUGACAAUCUGUCAAUCAGACAUGGCAAUGUACAAACAUACUUGGCACAGCAGGAAUCAGCUGCCGUGUGGGCUCCAGUCUGAAGGGGAGUAAAGGGACAUCCAGCUUCUGGGGGCCAUGGUGACGGAGCUGUCUGGUAGCCAUGGUAGCUGACAUGAGUGUGUUUGCCCUGGAGUGGUCUAGAGGUAUGUUUGUUGGUUAUUCCAGAAUGCAAGCCUGUCUCUCCACUCUCUGGGCUGUGCUCUGAUCCAUCCUUUACAUGAUGCCUCUGUUGCUUACACUUCCAGAGUAAAUGCUCCUUGUGACCAAGAGAUCCAUUAUCACUCUGUCUGUGAGUGCCUCACAUGCCUGGCUUUACCCUCUCACAAGCACCCCACAAAGUAGACAUCAUUGUCCCUGUUUUAGAGAUGAGGGCACCCAGACAAGGCACGGGCCAGGGAGAAGUGUGGCAAGUUUUACCCCAGAGCUGGCUGACUGCAGACGCACCCUGCUCUGCCCACCGCUAGCUGCUGCCUGCACAUCACAUGCUUAUUUUUUUCCUUCUUCAUGGCCCUUGUCAUAGCCUGGGGUUUUUAUUCAUUUCCUAUCACAUCCAACUAGCCUCUCAGUUACAUAAAGAGCAAAAAUCUCUUCUUGUGCACCACUGUCAUGUCUGGCCCUACUCAAACACACUAGGCAAUCAGUGAAUAUUGGCUGGAUGAAUCAAUGAACCUGAUGUAGCCACCAUGGAUAUUUUUUGGGAGAGACAAUCCUCCUGCCACUUCUGAGCUCAAAAACACUUGGCACCAUUCUUGUCUUUGUUCUUUCAUUCGAUAGCCACACAUUGAGACAUCUCAGGGCUCCUAGAACCUAAAGCCUGCUUUUCCUAUAUUCUGUAUACCUUAGAAAUCCUUUCAGUGUGCUGCAAGGCCUGUUCUCCGCACCUGCAUCCCACAGCCAGGAAAGUUCCAGAGUCCCUUGGGCCAAACUAUAGGCCCAUGGCAGGGCUGGACAGAAGUAGGGCUGCAGAGGUCCUCGCGGGUAAGGUGUGCCCCCUCCAUGCCGCUAUUCCUCACAGCCCUCGGGCGCACCAGUCUCCACCCUCAUUGGGGACGAGUUACAGAGCCAGGCUCUCCUCAGCUUUCCACCUAUGAGAGGCUGGUGACCGGGUCACCUCUGUGAACACUUGUCACUGGACAGCCACUCUAUGUCUAAUCAUUGGCUUGAGCUCAGAUUUCUUGCCCUUGUAACCUUUCCCAUAAAUUCUCCAUACUGUGUUUUCUAGGGCUAGGGUUUCAUGACCACUGGCUUGCAAGUAAAUCAAAACCAAAGCUAAUAGCUUUGGGCCCAGGCCCUCCUUUAACCAAUUCCUUGGAGAUGGUUAUUUUGAGUUGUCUCUUCUCUCUUUCCCUCUUGUUAUCUCUCACUAACUCUCAAGGUCCAGAGCAGAAAAAGAAUUAAUUUACUGAUUCCCAGAAUAAGCCAAAUUGUAAGACCCUGCUCUGAUUCCCUCUUCUUAAAUCCACUCACACAAUUAAAUCAUGAAACUGGAGCAAAUUUAAUGGAUAGAGAGAACUCAAGGGAAAGGACACUGCGAAAGGCAAAGGCGUGUGACUGAAUCUGUUGAUACUUUAGCUUUCCUUAAACUGUCACGUGGGGCAGCAUGGACUUCUCUUGUCUCUGGGGGAUAAGUUUGGUCCAGUAUCUUUAGUGGCUGCCUGAAAUGUGAAUAAUACCAAUAUAUAUGUCUUUUCCUAUACAAACAUGCUCAUGAGUAUGUUUAACUUACAAGUUAGGUACAAUAAGAGAUUGGCAGCAAUAACAAAUAAUAAAAUAAAAAGUUAUAGCAAUAGACUAAUAAAAGUGUUACUUUCACCUUUUUACCCGAAAGAAGCCUUGCGUGGCUUCUUUUUGGCACCUCCAAAUCACUAACAUCACCACUCUCAUGAUUCAGAGCCUUUGUUAAGUAGAAUUAGCUUUGUGCUGCCACCUCAGCUAAACGAUAACCAAGAGGGUGUGUGUGUUAUGGCACACAGCGGGUGCCCACAGGGAUGCUGUACAGAGCAACGAUUCACACUGAUAGGGGGAGGGGUGGCUGGAGAUUUCAUCAUGCUACCCAAGCCGGUGCAAUGUAAAACUCUUGUUUUUUCUGUUUAAAAUUUUCAGUCUGAAAUUGACCCCAAAUCUCUGACAAUGAGGAAAGCGAAACCUUGGAUAAGGGGGCUGUUGUAGUCAGAGGUUGUACACAGAGAACAAUUCAGGUUAGGACAUGGAGUUUAUAAUAUUUUUAUAAUGGUCACCGGAAGUUAACACAGGAGAAUGCAGGAAAUCUAUCCGCAACACCAACGACAUAGAUUAUUUUUCAAGAGUCUAAACCCCACGGCAGUGUCCCACAUGAGUCCAGAUAAAAACCCAGAGCUCAGGACAACGCCUCCACGAGUCCAAUUGGAAGUCCAGAGCCCACAAGAAGGACUCACGCCAGUCUCUUUUACGGAUCCAUGCCGGGAAGACCCAAGGGUCAGCGGUGGAAGCCAGAAAGUCCAUGCCAGCAGGAUGAAGGAGCUGUACUGGUGGGAUGAGGGUUCUACACUGGAGCCCAGAAGUCACACUCACAACAAAGAGCGGGGCUGUCCUGAAAGGCACCACAGCUGUCCUUUUCGACACGGAGGUCCCGAGCUCCUCCUCCGACAAGCUCAGUCGGGUACGUGCCAGGAAGCAGUGUGACGAGUUCAUCCUAGAGACCAGGCAGCACACGUCUUCCCCUCCAGAGCCAGGAAGCAAUGCUCGAUGUGAAGACCAAAGCUUCUCCAGGAGAACCAACAGCUCAGACAGCAAGCAACUCAUAGGAGAACCCACAAUGUCUCCUUAACAGCUCAACCCUCAAUACCUCCCUUCUUCUCCACCUAUUUAUCCUGGCAACCCUCCUCAGGUGGAGCAUCUUCUCUCAAUGCAUGCUGAUGUAAUCCAGCUGGCGUUAAGUUGACCACUAGUUAUCAAACCAUAACAGAGGCCUUGAUGUGGUCCCUGAUGGGGCCAAAGACUUGCAGAAUUAUCCAAGUUUGAUUUGAAUCCCUGUUUUACUCCAUGUGUUGGCUGCAUGACCUGGGCGAGUUCCCCAAGCUUAAUCUCUGUAAGAAUCAAUUUUCUCAUUUGUAAACAACUCUUAUGGGGUGUAACGCAGUUUAGAGAUAAUGCAUGUAAAUCACUCACACAGCCAAGCUGGAGCAGGGCCUUACUCUAGAGCCUGCCGUUCCCAACUCACCGCCCUGCCAGUGUACACACAGCACACAUACACACACACACACAGAGGCACUGAUGCACGCAUACACCACUACAUUACAGAAACAUACACACAUGCCCUCUACACAGUGCACACACACAGAUACCACACCCACACAUAUCACAUACACACAAAUGCUCACACAUAUCAUACCACAUACAUGUACACACACACCAUACCACGCAUGAGCAUGUACACACUUACACACACAUAUACACAUUGUAGGCUCCUUCUCAUCCACUCAGCUACCCAGUGAAAUAAGAGAAAAAUCUGUUACAACUUGGAGACCCAUUUGGUUUCAUUGGGGAACAAAAAGGAUGCAAUUUGACAAUUCUACCUAAAAGGUUCAAGGAGGUAAACAGGGAAAAUUAUGAAAUUGUAAUCAAGAGACAAGUUUUUAAAAAAGACUAACAAAAACCCCUCCACCAAUUUCUCAGACUAGGAUUGGAAGUUCCAUUAAAUCCAGCUCUUCCCCUCCUGGGUAUUUUCCCAGAAAACCUGAUAAGGUCAUGUCACAGUGACAUAUGUGUACCCAGGUUAAUAGCAUCACAAUUUGUGAUAGCUAAGUCUUGGAAACUACCAAAAUGCCAAUCAACUGCAGAGUGGAUGAAAAAGAUGUGGUAUUUUUGGCCCCUUCUGGGAGAACAUGGCGGCCAGAUAGCAGCAGCUAUGGAGGCUCUCUGAGAGACCCAGCUUAGAAUCCAGGAAUGGUGUGGCAUGAGGAAUCCUAAGCAAGAGGAGAUAUAGCCUGCUGACCCAAGAACGAACUGGGCUGAGAGAAACCAACUGGGAAUGCAAUCCUGGUGCUAUAACAGGAACAGAUAAAGCCUCAAUGUGGAAGCUGGAGCCUGCGCCAUUGGAAGCCGCGAUUUGGGUUUCCUGCCACCACUGCUGCGUCUGAAUCGGCUCGGCAGGGAGAGAGAUGCAAGAAAGCUCUGAGAACAAGAAUCGGUGAAUGGAGUUGAGAGCGGAAUGGGCAGGGAGCCAUGCAUCGACCUGUGGUGAGUGAGGGAAACUGGGACUCUUUCACGGUCUGGGAGUCUCCAACAGAGGACAUUCUGGGAUCGGGCAGACUUGCUGGAACAGGGUGCUGUAGUGCUUCACUCACAUAUCCCCCUCUCAAGUGUGAUUGGUGAGCAGUGCCUAGCCUACGUGACGCUCCUGGCUGAGACCCAGUAGGCUAGCACAACCCAGAUCCCAGCACCUGAAGGUGCACGCUAGCGGUGAGGCCUUUCGGUAGGUUGACCUGGAGGGGCGGACCCCACAUAGGCUGCCCAGUCUGUAACUCCCAAAAAAAGUAAUAAGAUUGGAUGAUAGGAACAGCUAUUUUGGAGAAAAUGACGUCAUAAUAGGUAAUGCUGAUUUAGUAUCAUCUUGUUUUGAAGUCCCAUCAAGCUUUUGUUCUUCUGUCUCCAUAGGUCUUCACAUGUUAUAUCUUAUUGGAUUUUAUUAUAUGUGAUAGUAUAAACAAAAACUUUUAUAGGCAAGGAGAUUAUACAGAAAUCAUUGUUCAUUUUCUGUUAGUUGAUUCUACAUACCCUGUAAUACUGUCAUUCUCUUGAAUGGUUUUACAUUGUUUUGAUAUAUUUGAUGCUACAGUAUAUGAAGUUAUACUCAAAGAUUUCAAGGAAAGAGACAAUAUGGUAACUCCUUUAUGUCGGGAAUAUCUUGUGGUGAAACACCAUUUUGCUUAAAUGAUCAUGUUUUGGAUCUGCGCUGUUUUGUUGUUAUGCCCUCUUUUAUCUCAAUCUCCAUUUUAUUAUUUACUUUUUUAUUUUUAUCUUUUUAAUUAAGGGAAAAAUAAAUUUAAAAAUAGCAGGAUAUAUUAUAGUAACCCUCUUUGAUUUUCUAUUAACUUGAUUUGAAGCCCUGUAUUGCUCUCACCAUCUUGUUUUGACUGAUGUUCUUCUAUUUUGUUUUGCUCAAUAGUACCAGGUUCGAAAGUUUAGUCAACAGCUGUGAAGAUAGUGGGAUUCAUUAUGACACCCAUUCUGGUUGACUAUUAUCUACUUUUGAAGACCUGUAAUGUCCGCAAUGUUUUGGUUUUGUUGGUUUCGUUCUUUACUGUUUUGUUCAAUUUUAUUAUAACUGAUGAUAUAGACAAUUCUAUUUGAGAUAGCGGGAGGCAUUAUGGUAACCAUUGUUGAUCACCUUGUAUUAUGUUUUUACAUUAUCUAUUAAGUCCACCCUUUUGAUUUGACCAACUCUGUUCUUUUAUGCCACAUUUGGUUUUACUCUCUUCCAAAAAAAGUAAUAAGAACUGUGGGAGUAAUAAAACCCAAAAUGUGUAAUAGUCAUUGUACAAAAGAGAGGAACAGAAAGUGCUCUAAAUGAUAUAACUGCAUGUAUAUUUAAGUGUAUAAGAUAGACAAUGAUAUUACUGAGUUUUGUUGGAUCACUGAACAGAACUGUUUGCAGUCUCACUGUUUGAAUGUCCACUUUAUAUGCUUUAAUUUUGUAACUUGAACAAAUAUUUCUAAGAUGACAAUAUGUAAUCCAUUAACUAGUGAUUUCCUGUUUAUUUUUUUCUGAAUUUCUGUAUAACUUGUACCCUUUUUCUGCUUUUUUUUCUUUUUCUCCUUAAAUAAAAUUCAAAAAAAAAAAAAAGAAAAGAAAAAGAUGCGGUAUUUUUAUACAAUGAAAUAUUACUCAGUUAUAAAAAGGAUGAUUUUGAGGCCUUCAUAGGUAAAUGGAGGCAACCUGAGACUAUCCUCAUAAGUGAAAUAAUAAGAAGCAUAUUUAUGAAUAUCACAUUGUAUCUCUAGUGUAAAAAGUAAUAAGAACUAUAAGAGUAAUAAGACCCAAAAUGUGUAAUAAUUAUUGUAAAAAAGAAA